AGACGUCUACAUUAGAUACCCGCGUAGUCCCAGCCGUAAACUAUGCGCGUUAGGUGUAUCGGUGACCACGAGUUACCGAGGUGCCGAAGGGAAACCGUGAAACGUGCCGCCUGGGAAGUACGGUCGCAAGGCUGAAACUUAAAGGAAUUGCGGGGAGCACCACAACAGGUGGAGCCUGCGGUUUAAUUGGACUCAACGCCGGGAAGCUCACCGGAUAGGACAGCAGAAUGAUUGCCGGGCUGAAGACCCUGCAUGACUAGCUG
rnacentral:rRNA from 1 species